GGGAGCUUAUAGAUAUAUGAUAAAAGAAAUGAGGAGAAGAAAGAAGGCUAAUAUAAGGGAGGCACAUUCACAUCUUUUCUGGAAGAGAUGGCUAGAAUUUUCUUGGAAUUUGGGUGCCACAUCAUCACUUUUUUGGUUUUCUGGUUGUCAUGACACUCGCCAAUUACUAUGGCACUGAAGGGAGAGUUACUGAGCAUGCAGAUGGGAUUAUAGUGAAGUUAGACAUUCUCUGGCAGGCUCUCUGGCAAGCAUCUUAGACUCAGCCAAUUUUGGUGAGCCCACCAACCUCUGGCCCUCAGGGAUCCUGAUCUCAAAGUCAAGAUUAGGGCAAGAAACUCAGCUAGGUCAAGUAGGCAGAACAAGAUUCAGGCAGGGAACACUGGCACAGCUCUGCCCUGGAGGAGUCUCUGGAGGUGCCUGAGGGAGUUAGAAUUAGUUUCACAGAGCAGGAAAGUCUGUGGAGGAAAUCAAUUGGCAGCACCAAGGCAACCUGGAGAGGCUUCCAGUAGCUGGUACAUGGACUCAUCCAGAGUGAGUACUGGAGCCAACAUUUGCUGGAACUAGGCCAGUCACAGAACCAUAUACCCACUAGUCACAACCCAAAGAUGAAGCGGAAACUCAGGAUUUCUACUUAGCCUUACUUCGGCACAGAUGACAUUGCUAAGCAUAGUCAGAGAUGUUGAUCCCUAAGAAACAUCUCACACUCCAAAGUCUGCACGGUCCCUGCUUCUGGAAAAACCUGUCUACAAUACCUUCAUUUCAUCACUCCCAACUCCACUUGUGUCAACUGGAACAUGAACAAAGCUGCACUCAACCCCUCCACUGUUUGCAGGAGAUUCAAACCAGAGCCAGUAGGAAAGAGAACAAGUCUUCCUCAUUCCUAUUUUCCCUUCUAUGUGGAUGCAACCCCAGCAGCUAGAACACUCUUGGCUUUUCUCUCUCCACUCACUCCCUCCUCCCUGAAAGGGUAAAUGCGGAGGUGUGGCCCAGCUCGUUCCUUUUUUGGAGAGGAGUUGCACACAGAAACCACAUGUUCUUCCUCAUACCCAGUGGCUGUCAGUUUUCCAGAGACAACCCGUGAUUGAGAGAGUCCUUCAGUGGCCAGUGCUGAACUGGCUGAGUGUCCAAUUCUGUGGCUUAGUUUUGAGAAGCCCAUCUGCCUGCAGACAUAAGUCACAUUCCCAAUGUCUGGUUUAUCAGUAGGAAAAGAUGUCAUGUUCACCACCAGCUGCUGACAUUCAUUCUAUGUCAUACGGUUUAAGGACUCAGACAAGAAAGAAGAUAAUCAUUAGUGAAAUUCUACCAAACCCCCUUACCUCCACAGAAAGCUCCAGCUCUGUGGCAAGGUCAGUGCGGGGUAGAACCCAGCAAGGGCAGCGAGCAUGCUGGGCUAGGAAGUGCCCUGCUUAGAUGUCCUACCCAGACACAAGCUGCAGGGAGCAUAGCUGACUAGCAACCUUGGAGUUUCCCCUCUGUAUCUACCCAGACACUGUCACUGUCACUGUCAGUAGGACCAGGUUUUCUCCCAUCAGACAACACAGUGUAGCAGGAAUGCUAAGGCCAGGCCAGUCCUGCCUGUGCAGGUUUCAUUCAACAGGCAGCUUUGUCUAAAGGAUUCCCCACCAGCCUGGUCCCCAUUUUCUUGGACCACAUUGCAGCCCAAGCCUCUCUCUUCUUACUCAAAACUGUCUCUCUUCUUCCACCCAUGUUAGAUCAGCAUGGUGGUCUGAAGGCUCUUCCUGCCUACAACUGCUCAUUUCUCCCUCACAGUACAGUAUAAGGCAUCUCCCCAUAUCAUGAUGUCUAAUUCAUCUGGUGUCCCAUUCUUGAAGAUUCUGGACUGGCAGAGAAUGUAACUUCCCAAAGCAGAACAAUGGAGGAGCAUCAGGGCUGUGUUGAUCCUAGCUUUUUGAUGCUAGAAUCCUGCUUUGGGUGGCCCAUUUGUAAGGCAAUUCCAGAAAUCUGGGCACUCA
rnacentral:lncRNA from 1 species